rnacentral:lncRNA from 1 species
GGGCCAGGCUCUCGGUGGCCACGGUGGCCACCAGGCCCGGCCGGUGCAGGUGGAGCUGCAGGGCCGGGCCGGACGCUGCGAGCGGCGACGCCUGAGGGGCUUCGGCCACGGCCGGACGGGGCCUGGGGACACCCGGGGUGGCCUUGGGGACAUCUGGGACUUCUGAGGGGACCUUGGGGUGGCCUUGGGGACACCUCAGGUGGCCUUGGGGACAUCUGGGGUGGCCUUGGGGACAUCUGAGGAGACAUCUGGGACAUCUGAGGUGGCCUUGGGGACAGUUGAGGACAUCUGGGGUGGCCUUGGGGACAUCUGGGACUUCUGAGGGGACCUUGGUGACAUCUGGGGUGGCCUUGGGGA